GCAUAUCAAUAAGCGGAGGAAAAGAAACCAACAGGGAUUGCCCUAGUAACGGCGAGUGAAGCGGCAACAGCUCAAAUUUGAAAUCUGGCUCUCGGGCCCGAGUUGUAAUUUGUAGAGGAUACUUUUGAUGCGGUGCCUUCCGAGUUCCCUGGAACGGGAUGCCAUAGAGGGUGAGAGCCCCGUCUGGUUGGAUGCCAAAUCUCUGUAAAGUUCCUUCGACGAGUCGAGUAGUUUGGGAAUGCUGCUCUAAAUGGGAGGUAUAUGUCUUCUAAAGCUAAAUACCGGCCAGAGACCGAUAGCGCACAAGUAGAGUGAUCGAAAGAUGAAAAGCACUUUGAAAAGAGAGUUAAAAAGUACGUGAAAUUGUUGAAAGGGAAGCGUUUAUGACCAGACUUGGGCUUGGUUGAUCAUCUGGGGUUCUCCCCAGUGCACUCUUCCAGUCCAGGCCAGCAUCAGUUUUCCCCGGGGGAUAAAGACUUCGGGAAUGUGGCUCUCUUCGGGGAGUGUUAUAGCCCGUUGUGUAAUACCCUGGGGGGGACUGAGGUUCGCGCAUCUGCAAGGAUGCUGGCGUAAUGGUCAUCAACGACCCGUCUUGAAACACGGACC
rnacentral:rRNA from 1 species